rnacentral:lncRNA from 1 species
GCCUGCGCGGUAGUGGGACCCGACCCUGUCUCCAGUGGGCGUCUUGGGCCCCGGCUCUAUUCUGGGCUGCGGGCCUGGGAAGGGCUCGCCGGGUGCCAAAUGAGCUGUCCUAACUCUGCGGGGCUGCAGCUUCCUGCAUGAUGCUGGGGAGCUUGGCGCCUGACCCAGGAUCUAGAAGGCACUCUGGGCAGGCCGCGCUCCGCCCACGAAGGUCUGGCUUACCACACGCUCCUCCCCAUUCCCAGUGAGCCGCUUUUUGCAGCACCAGGCGAACACUUACACCAGUGCUUUGUAAAGGAAUCUUAUUGUCCACCCCGUGUCUUGGCAAAAGAACAGUGAUCACACAGAUUCCUACUUGGGCUCUUUCCUUUAAUCUUCGGAGGCUGAGUUUGCCCAACUCAGGUUUAACCACCAAGGACUCUGAGAGCUGGCAGGUCUGAGUAACCCUGGUAACAAUUCUCUUCACCUUAUCAAAACCUGAGCUAAAACCAAUGCAUCAGCUGAUGAUGACAGCAGAGAGUGGCAGGGCUGAGGACCCAAAGUCAUUUCCCAGGCUGGCGGAGAAUAAACUGCCAGGGAGAAGAAUGAGAAGACAGGAGACAAACUGUUUGGAAAGCUAAAUCUUCCCUCUUAAUGAAUAAAGGUUUUUGCCUUGUCUUAAAGUUUCUGAGUCCUAAUUUUGGCAAAAUAAAUAACUUAUGGUAAUCUGG